rnacentral:lncRNA from 1 species
UUUGAAGGCUCAGUCGAUGGUGUGAUUAGCACCCUUUCCUUUGGUGCAGAAGAGAAGACUUCCUCUGCGCCCAGGUGAGCUGGGUUUCCAUAACUCAUCCCAGCCACUGGAACUGGAGUUCUCUGUGGGGUGGAUGAGGGUGUUUGAGCCACGUGUCCCCUGCUCUGAUGAGCUCAGCAGCCCUCACCUGAGCACUUCGGCAGCAGAACGGAAGGAGGAGUUCUGGAGGAGGAGAGGCGGGAGCCCCAGCCUGUCUGCUGUUGACCUCCCAGGACCAGCAGGAGCACCUCAGAGACUGGUUCAGGGGUGGGAACCAGUGAAGCGUAGAAUAUUUCCUGCCAGUCCAAGGAACAGCUGCUAUCAGAGUUCCCACGUUUGCAGAAAAUGCUUUGCCCUAAGCAGUGAGGUGAGAGCUGGACACCUGCAUGGUGAGCACCGUGGAAGAAGAGACCCCUGGUUGGCCACGUGCUGUGUCCACAUCAGGGUUUUUCAUGUUUUAUUCUUCUCACCCAGGAGAAAAAAAGUAAGUUGCCUGUAGCCAACCAAUUAUUUAUUUCUCCUUUCAAAUCUAGUAUCUUAACCAGUGAGUUAAUUCUGUAGUUCUAGAUUUUACUGCAGUUUUUGAUCAGUAAUUCAUAAUCUGGAAUCCAUAACCUACUUGUGCUACACCCAACAGUAAUAAAAUUGGAAGGUUGGGCUUGA